CUCCCCUGUCCGUCCCGUCCCGUCCGGUCCCUGCCGUGGCGGGCAGCAUGUCGGCCUCGGAGGACUACUCCUCGGAGGAGGACGAGGACUACGUGCCGUCGGGUGCCGAGUACAGCGAGGAGGACGCGGCAGAGCUGGUGGCGGAGGAGGCGG